rfam:Capsicum annuum cultivar Zunla-1 chromosome 5, whole genome shotgun sequence
AUACUUACCUUGACGGGGUCAAUGGCCCAUGGCCUAGGUUGGCGACCUCCAUUGCACUUUGGAGGGGUGCCUGCCUAAGGUCGACCCAAGUGGUCUAGCCUACGUCAUAAUUUGUGGCAGCGGGGGCCUGCGUUUGCACGGCCCCUAC